UCAAGCCUGCUCUCACUCUGUGUACUUUUGCUUCAAUAAAUCUGUGCUUUCAUUGUUUUGGGGUUUUUUGUUGCUUUAUUUGUAUGUUUUGUUUGAUUCUUUGUUCAAUGCACCAAGAACCUGGACAACUCACAGUCAAGCAUUUCCAUCCCGUAACAGUUGGAGAAUGAGCCUGCGUGACAGGCCUUCCAUUUAGCAGGUGAAUCUCAGCUGCUACGUAAAUCGUCAAAGCCGGAACUUGGAAUGUGAAUAUAGCCAUGAGAGUGCCUCAGCAAGGAACCAUUAUGAGGUCUUGGUGUCUGGGAAUCUGCAUUGAUAACCCACACCGCAGGUGAUUCUGAUGGAGGUGGUUCCAGAACUAGAGUUUGAGAGUCACUGUCCUCUAGCAACCUCUGGAUUAAACACGGGAGAAAACAAAUAGACCUAAGUUGUUGACUGACCAAUGAACUUUCAAGGAUGAAGCCAGGAAUAACAAAACCAUGCCUUUGACCAUGGAAGGAGCUGAAAGGAUGGAGUCAAGGCCUUGAGGAGACAACAGAGAGGCAACCAAAAGAAGAUGGCAGGCAGCCAGAAGAAGGCACAUUCCUAGAUCUCUUCCAAAGUGCCUGAAAUGAUCCAACAGACCACAAUAGACACAAUCACUCACUCCAGGUGAAGCCGAAUUCCAUGUGAUGAGGCAGGUCUGGGAAGAGACCCAUGUGACAGGAACAGAGGCCUGUGGCCUGCCCAGAUCCACCCGAGUGACUUUGAAAGUGAAUCCUCUUAAGUUGUGUCCUCAAGCGAAAUUUCGCCACUGACGCCUGCAACUGCCUAACUGACCUUGAGCCAGAGGCACCCAGCCAAGCUGCUCCCAAGGUUUCGGACCCACAGAAAUAGUGAGAUCAUAAAUGUUUGUAUUUUACACCAUUACAUUUUGGGGUAAUUUGCUACAAAGCAGCAGUUAACUACUACACAAUCAAAAUGGAAUGAUCAUCUAUGGGUCUGCAUGAGUUUGCCUCUCUCUACUGAGUGGGGCAGAUGGCCAUAGUAUCCAGGAAAAUACUCUUCCUUGGAUAAAAUAGACAUCUCAAGGCCUUUUCACACUGGGUCAUAAAUGUACAUUUAGUGGAUCAUUUCCAUUACUAAAAUGUAAGAUCCACAAGAAAACUUGCAUACUUGUAAUAAUUAGUAUACUGUGAGCCCGUGCCCAGCAUAUAGUUAAGCAUUGUACGUUCACCGACUUCCUUUAUCUUUCUAACAAUUCUAUGAUUAAAGUAUUAUUAUAAUCGUCAUUUUUGUAGAUGUGAAACUGAGGCGGAUAAGAAUUAAGUUGCCCAAAGUGGUGUUACAUGUAAAUGGAGGAGGCAGGAUUUGAACCCAGGCAGUUUGGCUUCAGAGUUCUUAGUAAAUAUGUGGGUUGGAGUAAAUGAGGGAGUAAAACUGUUGGAUGACUUCUGAUUAUUGCCUUGGGGGAUGGGUACCUCUCUGUCCUUCAUUUCUUUAUUGGUGUUUUUAUAACCCCUUGCAUGGUAUUUGUUGUCGACAUCUAAAAUAUAUUCCAAAAGCAACCUGUUCUUUUUUUCACCUCGCUGUUUUCUUUGCUAAGACCUUCACAGGAGGCUGGGGCUUUCUCUCUCUGUUGGGAUCUUUUAUAUUUUAAGACAUUCUCUUCGCCAAGCAUGUUGACAUGUGAGUUGCAAGCUAAGCCUCUGAGAAGCAAAAUGUUGAACAAUUAUCAGUUGAAGACAUCAUGUCACAAGGAACUUCUCUUUAAACAAAUCAAAAAGUCCCAUAGCAAACUCCUUUUGUCUGAGGAUCUCCAGGGACCCCUCUGACACUGGACCAUCCCGCCGAGACAUUUCAAACACAGACUCUCACCAUUUAGUCCGGUUGCUGGGGCCCCAGACUUCUUUAGAAUAGAUAAUGCGGCUUCAUUAUGGUUCUAUGUGAAUGUGCCUGGAAAAGGAUCAUUGCAUUUCCUUUAAA